UGAAACAUUGGUUCUCAUACAAUCACUGAAGUUAAGCAAUGUUGAGUCUGGUCAGUAUCUUGAUAGGUGACCGCUUGGGAAUACCAGGUGCUGUAAG
rnacentral:rRNA from 1 species